ACAGAACGCCAUUUGCACAAUGAUCUUGAAUUAUCAUCUUGCUUGUACACAAUAGGUUCCUACGUUCAGAGCAGCCAUGGCUCUAAAGUCAGCUAGAAGAUGGGCAAACAACGGUUCCUCUGGUCUCCUCCUCGGCAGCUCCAGCAGAGGGCCCUCUGCACACUGGGUCAUUUUCUCACCCCCUACAGCAUCCUCUCAGAGGAGAUUUCCCACCAAAUUCCAUAGGAUGGAAAGCCGGCAUGCUGCCUUGGGAUGAGAACAGAUAAUGAUGGAUGAGGCCAGUUUCCAGUGAGACUUUCAUUGAGGAAGUUUGCUUCUGAGCACUGACACUUUCUCCCCCGGAUCGCUGAGUAGCGCUAUUCCAUGGGGGCCCCCAAGAGAUGGAAAGAACAUCCUGUUGGAGGAAUGUUUCCCAUUUGGAAACUGGCUUUGUGCAGAGUCAACGUUGAAGUCAAGAUGGCAAAGCAAGAACCCCCUCUGAUUGCAAGAAAUUGUCAGAAGAAGCUAUCCAGUCCUAUGAUUGUGGGAAUCUGCACCAAGCUGGCUACAGCUCUACAAAGAUGAGAUUUCCAGAAAGAAUGCUGCCAAUCGCCAGAGGCAGACAUGUUUAUCAAGCUGUGUAUCUUGAAGUCUGACAGAAAAUCUGUGGCCUUUGGUACAGCUGAAAAACACUCUGUCAACACCAUGGAGAGUGCAAGCCCGUGGUGCUGGCCUCAACCCAAGGAGUGCAGGGGAAUGGACAAAAAUUUGACUCAAGGCCAAAAAUUACAAGAGGAGGGAAAGUCAGACUUGAGGCGAACAAGCCUUUUCCAUCGGUGAGCUUACUGCAACUACUACCCUACCAAAGUCACCGACUUCAGUAAACCAUGGCUCAGCCAUAUGAUGAAUCAUCCAGAUGAUCAAAAUUAUUCUUAUGAAGAGCGUUUAACAACAAAUACAGAUACUUGUGAUAUAACACUGUGAACAAAAGCAAGAUAUACAAGGGCAUUUGCAGUAUAAUGACAACUAUGAAACCAAUCCACAUACGAGAACAGCAAUACUCCAAAACUUCAAAAGGUGAUUAUCUAUAGAUGGUGGGAUUCUAGAUGAUUUUUGUUAUUUUCUAGACCUUGUAUUGAGUAUUCUAUAGUAAGUAUGGAUUCAUUUUUAUAAUUAAAAGUAUAUUUUUAAAUGGAAUAAAAUCUAUAAAAGGCAUCACCUACUUCUUUCAAAGGUCACAU
rnacentral:lncRNA from 1 species